UACGUAGGGGGCAAGCGUUGUCCGGAUUUAUUGGGCGUAAAGAGCGUGUAGGCGGUUAGGUAGGUCCGUUGUGAAAACUCGAGGCUCAACCUCGAGACGCCGAUGGAAACCAUCUAACUAGAGUCCGGAAGAGGAGAAUGGAAUUCCUGGUGUAGCGGUGAAAUGCGCAGAUAUCGGGAGGAACACCGGUGGCGAAGGCGGUUCUCUGGGCCUUACCUGACGCUGAGGAGCGAAAGCGUGGGGAGCGAACAGG
rnacentral:rRNA from 1 species